UAACUUACUUAACUCAGGGAAAGACAACAACCAAUAAAUAUAAUGAUCAAACUCAACUGAACAGAUAAAACAUACUAACUAAGAAUGUUGUAAUGGUGUAAAACAUUCAUCUGACCAAAAGUGGCAACCCAUGUCUCAACAAAUUGAAAGAAAUAGAAAAGCUAAAGGAUUAACAUCUGACUGUCUAUCUAUGAAGCCUUCUAAAACUAAGACGGAUGUUGGAACAGACCUCAUGAUUUUAUUCGAAAUCAGAAAAAUAUUAUUUUUGCAAGAGUUAUCGACUUUUGAGAGUUGCCACUUAAUUUUGAGAAAAUUAAGAAAACUUUUACUUUCAA
rnacentral:misc_RNA from 1 species